rnacentral:rRNA from 1 species
UACGUAGGGGGCAAGCGUUGUCCGGAAUUAUUGGGCGUAAAGAGCGUGUAGGCGGUCCGGUAAGUCAGCUGUGAAAGUCAAGGGCUCAACCCUUGAAUGCCGGUUGAUACUGUCGGGCUAGAGUCCGGAAGAGGCGAGUGGAAUUCCCGGUGUAGCGGUGAAAUGCGUAGAUAUCUGGAGGAACACCGGUGGCGAAGGCGGCAUCCUCGGACCGGCAUUGACGCUGAGGCGCGAAAGCCAGGGGAGCCAAAGCGGGAUAGAAACC